rnacentral:rRNA from 1 species
AACGAACGCUGGCGGCAUGCCUAACACAUGCAAGUCGAACGGUAACAGGCCGCAAGGUGCUGACGAGUGGCGAACGGGUGAGUAAUGCAUCGGAACGUGCCCAGUCGUGGGGGAUAACGCAGCGAAAGCUGCGCUAAUACCGCAUACGAUCUAUGGAUGAAAGCGGGGGACCGUAAGGCCUCGCGCGACUGGAGCGGCCGAUAUCAGAUUAGGUAGUUGGUGGGGUAAAGGCUCACCAAGCCAACGAUCUGUAGCUGGUCUGGGAGGACGACCAGCCAGACUGGGACUGCGGGACGGCCCAGACUCCUACGGGCGGCAGCAGUGGGGAAUGUUGGACAAUGGGCGCAAGCCUGAUCCAGCAAUGCCGCGUGCAGGAAGAAGGCCUGCGGGUUGUAAACUGCUUUUGUACGGAACGAAACGGUCCGGGUUAAUACCCUGGGCUAAUGACGGUACCGUAAGAAUAAGCACCGGCUAACUACGUGCCAGCCGCCGCCGUAACAC